UUGAUGAAAUAAAUGAAAUGGAACACCUUGGAAAAUGUGAUCACAGAGGGUGAUAAUCCCGUACAUGCAAGUUUAUGAAUCAUAGCAGACUCCUGAGUAAGUCGGGACACGUGUAAUCCUGACCGAAUCCGCCGGGACCAUCCGGCAAGGCUAAAUACUCCUGAGAGACCGAUAGUGAACCAGUACCGUGAGGGAAAGGUGAAAAGCACUUCGAACAGAAGAGUGAAAUAGUCCCUGAACCCAUACGCCUACAAGCAGUCGGAGCCGCUUCGUGCGGUGACGGCGUGCCUUUUGCAUAAUGAGCCUACGAGUUACUCAUCACCAGCGAGGUUAAGUACUUCAGGUACGUAAGCCGAAGCGAAAGCGAGUCUGAAUAGGGCGUCAAGUUGGUGGUGGUAGACGCGAAACCUUAGUGAUCUACCCAUGGGCAGGGUGAAGGUUUGGUAACACAAACUGGAGGCCCGAACCGGUAAACGUUGAAAAGUUUUCGGAUGACCUGUGGGUAGGGGUGAAAGGCCAAUCAAACUGGGAAAUAGCUCGUACUCUCCGAAAUGCAUUUAGGUGCAGCCUCUGUUGUUUUGUUCUAGAGGUAGAGCUACUGAUUGGAUGCGAGGGCUUCACCGCCUAUCAAAUCCGGCCAAACUCCGAAUGCUAGAACAUGAAGACAGGGAGUGAGCCAGCGGGUGCUAAGGUCCGUUGACGAAAGAGGGAGAACUCAGACCAUCAGCUAAGGUCCCCAAUUAUAUGCUAAGUUGGAAUAAAAACGGGGUGGGACUGCUUAGACAGCUAGGAUGUUGGCUUGGAAGCAGCCAUUCAUUUAAAGAGUGCGUAACAGCUCACUAGUCGAGCGGUCCUGCAUGGAUAAUACGCGGGCAUAAGCAUAUAACCGAAGCUAUGGGAUUGUAGAUGAUACAAUCGGUAGGAGAGCAUUCCAUUCAGCAUAGAAGCAGUAUCGUGAGGUAUUGUGGAGCGGAUGGAAAAGCAAAUGUAGGCAUAAGUAACGAUAAUGCGGGUGAGAACCCCGCACGCCGAAAGAUCAAGGAUUCCCCGGCAAUGUCAAUCAUCCGGGGGUAAGUCGGAUCCUAAGGGUAAGCCGAGUGGCGAUCCCGAUGGCAAACAGGUUAAUAUUCCUGUACUGAUCAUAACUGCGAUGCAGCGACGCAGAGGUGACACUGCUGCGUACUGACGGAAUAGUACGUUGAAACCCGUAUUCUUUGAUACCGGUAGUGAAGCACGCCGGUAGAGAUGAAAGGUGAUAGUACCGCAAUGCUUCGGUUGCGCGGAUAACGCAGGUAAGCUGACUGCCAAGAAAACCUGCUAAGCUUCAGGUAAUGAUCAUCCGUACUGUAAACGGACACACGUGAUCAGGUAGAAAAUACUAAGGCGCUCGAGAGAUUCAUGGUUAAGGAACUAGGCAAAAUGGUCCUGUAACUUCGGGAUAAAGGACGCUCUUGUGAAAGAGCCGCAGAUAAUAGGCCCAAGCCCCGGUAAACGGCGGCCGUAACUAUAACGGUCCUAAGGUAGCGAAAUUCCUUGUCGGGUAAGUUCCGACCUGCACGAAUGGUGUAACGAUCUGGGUACUGUCUCAACCAUGAGCUCGGUGAAAUUGUAGUUCCGGUGAAGAUGCCGGAUACCCGCAACGGGACGGAAAGACCCCGUGAACCUUUACUGCAGCUUUGCAUUGAUUUUGGGUAACAGAUGUGUAGGAUAGGUCGGAGGCUUUGAUGCUGCGUCGUCAGGCGUAGAGUAGCCGUCGUUGAAAUACGACCCUUUUGUUAUCUGAGGUCUAAUCCCGUUAGGGAGACAUUGCAUGGUGGGUAGUUUGACUGGGGUGGUCGCCUCCAAAAGUGUAACGGAGGCUUCUCAAGGUACCCUCAAGGCGUUUGGUAAUCGUCUGCAGAGUGCAAUGGCAUAAGGGUGCUUGACUGUGAGACCGACACGUCGAUCAGGUUGGAAACAAGAGCAUAGUGAUCCGGUGGUUCCGCAUGGAAGGGCCAUCGCUCAAAGGAUAAAAGGUACUCCGGGGAUAACAGGCUGAUCGCUCCCAAGAGCUCAUAU
rnacentral:rRNA from 1 species